CAAUGUCUAUUAAUUAAUGUAUGUAUGCAUGUAUUUGUUAUUAAUUAAUUAACUCAUUCUAUAAAGCUUUCUUACAUUCAGUCGCGCGUUCACUCGGUCAUCCAUACAUUGGUUCACUUAUUGUUUCCUUCGGUCAGACAUUCGAUCAUCCUUCAAUCCAUCAUCCAUUCAUUCUUGGAUGGAGAAGCAUGCUGGGAGUGCCAGCACCAAGUGAUUGUUGGACUCCCAUCGAGAGUGUUUAGGUCGCUGCGCUCAGAACCCGGCGAGCCCGAGUUCGAUUUCCGCUCACGACCAAGACGAGUGGCGAUGAUUGGAACCCCAUCCUGGGCUUCCCCAAGGGUAGAGCCGCACCACCGAUUCGCACGGCUGGAGGCCCCGCACUGGCUUAGUCCGGCACUGCAGGAGACGGGAGACCCGUCCCAGGUUUAACGACUGCCGCGCCUCCGUCCCGGUGCGCUGCCCAUCGCGCUCCAUCGCUUCCGCGAUGUCUCCUUACGCCCGAUUGCCGCCUUCUCCCGGAGCCGCUUUCCUCACCGCUCCUCGCGCCUUGCGACUCUUCCGAUUCGUGGUGGCGCCGGGCUCGCCUGCGGCCUCGGGAUCGUCGCU